CGAACGCUGGCGGCGUGCUUAACACAUGCAAGUCGAACGGUGAAGCCCUUCGGGGUGGAUCAGUGGCGAACGGGUGAGUAACACGUGGGGAAUCUGCCCUGAACUCUGGGACAAGCCUUGGAAACGAGGUCUAAUACCGGAUACGACCGUCUCCCGCAUGGGGGUCGGUGGAAAGCUCCGGCGGUUCAGGAUGAUCCCGCGGCCUAUCAGCUUGUUGGUGGGGUAAUGGCCUACCAAGGCGACGACGGGUAGCCGGCCUGAGAGGGCGACCGGCCACACUGGGACUGAGACACGGCCCAGACUCCUACGGGAGGCAGCAGUGGGGAAUAUUGCACAAUGGGCGAAAGCCUGAUGCAGCGACGCCGCGUGAGGGAUGACGGCCUUCGGGUUGUAAACCUCUUUCAGCAGGGAAGAAGCGCAAGUGACGGUACCUGCAG
rnacentral:rRNA from 2 species